rnacentral:rRNA from 1 species
CACGUAGGGGGCGAGCGUUGUCCGGACUUAUUGGGCGUAAAGAGCUCGUAGGCGGCUCGGUAAGUCAGGUGUGAAAACUCUAGGCUCAACCUAGAGACGCCACCUGAUACUGCUGUGGCUAGAGUCCGGUAGGGGAGCAUGGAAUUCCUGGUGUAGCGGUGAAAUGCGCAGAUAUCAGGAGGAACACCAGUGGCGAAGGCGGUGCUCUGGGCCGGAACUGACGCUGAGGAGCGAAAGCGUGGGGAGCAAACAGG